CCUACGGGAGGCAGCAGUGAGGAAUAUUGGUCAAUGGGCGUAAGCCUGAACCAGCCAAGUCGCGUGAGGGAUGAAGGUUCUAUGGAUCGUAAACCUCUUUUAUAAGGGAAUAAAGUGUGGGACGUGUCCUGUUUUGUAUGUACCUUAUGAAUAAGGAUCGGCUAACUCCGUGCCAGCAGCCGCGGUAAUACGGAGGAUCCGAGCGUUAUCCGGAUUUAUUGGGUUUAAAGGGUGCGUAGGCGGCCGUUUAAGUCAGCUGUGAAAGUUUGUGGCUCAACCAUAGAAUUGCCGUUGAUACUGGGAGGCUUGAGUAUGUUUGAGGCAGGCGGAAUGCGUGGUGUAGCGGUGAAAUGCUUAGAUAUCACGCAGAACCCCGAUUGCGAAGGCAGCCUGCCAAGCCAUGACUGACGCUGAUGCACGAAAGCGUGGGGAUCAAACAGGAUUAGAUACCCUGGUAGUC
rnacentral:rRNA from 1 species